GACGAACGCUGGCGGCGUGCUUAACACAUGCAAGUCGAACGGUAAGGCCCUUCGGGGUACACGAGUGGCGAACGGGUGAGUAACACGUGGGUGAUCUGCCCUGCACUUCGGGAUAAGCCUGGGAAACUGGGUCUAAUACCGGAUAGGACUCCGGACUGCAUGGUCUGGGGUGGAAAGCUUUUGCGGUGUGGGAUGGGCCCGCGGCCUAUCAGCUUGUUGGUGGGGUGAUGGCCUACCAAGGCGACGACGGGUAGCCGGCCUGAGAGGGUGACCGGCCACACUGGGACUGAGCUACGGCCCAGACUCCUACGGCAGGCAGCAGUGGGGAAUAUUGCACGAUGCGCGCAAGCCUGAUGCAGCGACGCCGCGUGAGGGAUGACGGCCUUCGGGUUGUAAACCUCUUUCAGCAUCGACGAAGCGAAAGUGACGGUAGGUGCAGAAGAAGGACCGGCCAACUACGUGCCAGCCGCCGCAGUAA
rnacentral:rRNA from 1 species